rnacentral:misc_RNA from 1 species
AAGUCGUAACAAGGUUUCCGUAGGUGAACCUGCGGAAGGAUCAUUACCUUUCAAUGCAGCAGAAUGGGGAUGGUUGAGUUUCUCGCCUCUCUGUUCUGCCUGUAUUCUACCCUUGUUUGUCAUAUACUAUUAUUUCCUCGGCAGGCUUGCUUGCCGAGUGAAACCAAUUAUAACCUAAUUAAUUUUCAAUCAGCGUCUGAACAAAAUUAAUAAUUACAACUUUCAACAACGGAUCUCUUGGUUCUG